rnacentral:tmRNA from 1 species
GGGGGCGACUGGUUUUGACAGCAAGACCAAUUGAACUGUAAGCAUGUCGAGCAAUGAAAUAGUACUCGUAAAACUCAAUUUCAACACUUUAAACGGCGAGAAUAACUACGCUUUAGCUGCAUAAUCCGAAUUACAGUAGGAUUUAGCCUCGUCUCUACUAGGUAGAGAAGCUUUAUGUCUCCUGACAGCCUUUGUUAAUGGCGUUCAAGUUUGAGACAUCGUAAAAAUUGACAUAGAAAUGCUAUACUUCGCUAGUGUUUUGAAACUAAAGAAGAUAAGCUAAAAGUGGGCGGUUGUCGGUCAGCUUUUGGACGAAAAUUAAACGAUGACUAUGCAUGUAGAAAGCACUUUAGUUGCUUGUUUGGACGAGGGUUCGAGUCCCUCCGUCUCCACAA